rnacentral:rRNA from 1 species
CACCGCGGUUAUACGAAUAGGCCCAAGUUGUUAGACAUCGGCGUAAAGCGUGGUUAGGUAGUUCAAUAUCCAGUAGAGCCGAACGCCUUCUAGGCUGUUAUACGUGUACUUGCGAAGGUGAGAAGCCCAAUUACGAAAGUAGCUUUAUAAUAACUGACUCCACGAAAGCCAGGGAA